CCAAAACUUUGUAGCGUCUUGAGUAGUUUCCUACUGAAUUGAGUGAAUGUUCUUAUAUUGGUGUUCAAUACUUUCAAAGAUCUCCAAAAAUAUAUAUGUAUGAAAAUGAAUCAACAUUUUUCACUUUUUACAAAUUGUCCUUUAA